GAUGAACGCUAGCUACAGGCUUAACACAUGCAAGUCGAGGGGAAACGACAUCGAAAGCUUCCUUUGGAUGGGCGUCGACCGGCGCACGGGGGAGUCACGCGUAUCCCACCUGCCCACCACGUGGGGAUAACCUUGCGAAAGUAAGAAUAAUACCCAAUAACGUCUCUAGCAUACAUCUGAAAGAGAUUAAAGCUGUAUCGGUGAUGGAUGGGGAUGCGGUUGAUUAGGUUGUUGGCGGGGUAACGGCCCAGCAAGGCGACGAUAAGUAGGGGUUAUGAGAGGAAGGUCCCCCACAUUGGAACUGAGACACGGUCCAAACUCCUACGGGAGGCAGCAGUGAGGAAUAUUGGUCAAUGGGCGAGAGCCUGAACCAGCCAAGUAGCGUGCAGGAUGACGGCCCUAGGGGUUGUAAACUGGUUUUAUAAGGGAAUAAAGUGAGUCUCGUGAGACUUUUUGCAUGUACCUUAUGAAUAAGGACCGGCUAAUUCCGUGCCAGCCGCCGCGGUAA
rnacentral:rRNA from 1 species